rnacentral:rRNA from 1 species
GACGAACGCUGGCGGCGUGCUUAACACAUGCAAGUCGAACGGAAAGGCCCUGCUUUUGUGGGGUGCUCGAGUGGCGAACGGGUGAGUAACACGUGAGUAACCUGCCCUUGACUUUGGGAUAACUUCAGGAAACUGGGGCUAAUACCGGAUAGGAGCUCCUGCUGCAUGGUGGGGGUUGGAAAGUUUCGGCGGUUGGGGAUGGAUUCGCGGCUUAUCAGCUUGUUGGUGGGGUGGUGGCUUACCAAGGCUUUGACGGGUAGCCGGCCUGAGAGGGUGACCGGCCACAUUGGGACUGCGAUACGGCCCAGACUCCUACGGGAGGCAGCAGUGGGGAAUAUUGCACAAUGGGCGGAAGCCUGAUGCAGCAACGCCGCGUGCGGGAUGACGGCCUUCGGGUUGUAAACCGCUUUCGCCUGUGACGAAGCGUGAGUGACGGUAAUGGGUAAAGAAGCACCGGCUAACUACGUG